GUCCAGACUCCUACGGGAGGCAGCAGUGGGGAAUAUUGCACAAUGGGGGAAACCCUGAUGCAGCGACGCCGCGUGAGUGAAGAAGUAUUUCGGUAUGUAAAGCUCUAUCAGCAGGGAAGAAGACGGUACCUCUUGAAUAAGCCACGGCUAACUACGUGCCAGCAGCCGCGGUAAUACGUAGGUGGCAAGCGUUGUCCGGAUUUACUGGGUGUAAAGGGCGUGCAGCCGGGCUGACAAGUCAGAUGUGAAAUCCCGCGGCUCAACCGCGGAACUGCAUUUGAAACUGUCAGUCUUGAGUACCGGAGAGGUCAUCGGAAUUCCUUGUGUAGCGGUGAAAUGCGUAGAUAUAAGGAAGAACACCAGUGGCGAAGGCGGAUGACUGGACGGCAACUGACGGUGAGGCGCGAAAGCGUGGGGAGCAAACAGGAUUAGAUACCCUUGUAC
rnacentral:rRNA from 1 species